rnacentral:rRNA from 1 species
GCUUAACACAUGCAAGUCGAGCGGGGAGAGAUUUUCGGAUUUCUCUUUAGCGGCGGACGGGUGAGUAACACGUGGGUAACCUGCCUCAAAGUGGGGGAUAGCCUUCCGAAAGGAAGAUUAAUACCGCAUAAUAUCAUGGCGCUGCAUGGCGCAGUGAUUAAAGGAGCAAUCCGCUUUGAGAUGGACCCGCGGCGCAUUAGCUAGUUGGUGAGGUAACGGCCCACCAAGGCGACGAUGCGUAGCCGACCUGAGAGGGUGAUCGGCCACAUUGGAACUGAGACACGGUCCAGACUCCUACGGGAGGCAGCAGUGGGGAAUAUUGCACAAUGGGGGAAACCCUGAUGCAGCAACGCCGCGUGAGUGAUGAAGGCCUUCGGGUCGUAAAGCUCUUUGAUCAGGGACGAUAAUGACGGUACCUGAAAAACAAGCCACGGCUAACUACGUGCCAGCAGCCGCGGUAAUAC